rnacentral:rRNA from 1 species
CACGUAGUUGGCCGCACCUUCUUCUACAGGUACCGUCAUUUUCUUCCCUGCUGAAAGCGGUUUACAACCCUAGGGCCUUCUUCCCGCACGCGGCGUUGCUGCAUCAGGCUUUCGCCCAUUGUGCAAGAUUCCCCACUGCUGCCUCCCGUAGGAGUCUGGGCCGUGUCUCAGUCCCAGUGUGGCUGAUCAUCCUCUCAGACCAGCUACCCGUCGAUGCCUUGGUGAGCCAUUACCUCACCAACAAGCUGAUAGGCCGCGAGACCCUCCCGGACCGAUGAAUCUUUCGUCUGGUCGCCAGGUGACGUCCAGACGGCAUCCGGUAUUAGCAGAUGUUUCCAUCUGUUAUUCCGGAGUCCGGGGCAGGUUUCUCACGUGUUACGCACCCGUUCGCCACUAGAUCUUCCGCAGCAAGCUGCAUGGACCUCGUUCGACUUGCAUGUGUUAAGCACGCCGCCAGCCGUUGUCCUGUACGCCACGGAUCAAACGCCUUACG